GAGUUUGAUCAUGGCUCAGGAUUAACGCUGGCGGCGUGCCUAACACAUGCAAGUCGAGCGAGAAGUUUUUUGUGAAGAUUUCGGUUGGAACAAAAGAUGGAAAGCGGCAGACGGGUGAGUAACGCGUGAAUAAUCAACCCUGCACAAAGGGAUAGCCUCGGGAAACCGGGAUUAAUACUAUAUGAAGUACAUUAAUCGAAUGAUAGAUGUAUUAAAGUUUUUAACGGUGCAGGACGAGUUCGCGUCCCAUUAGCUAGUUGGUGAGAUAACAGCUUACCAAGGCGACGAUGGGUAGCCGGCCUGAGAGGGUGAACGGCCACACUGGAACUGAGACACGGUCCAGACUCCUACGGGAGGCAGCAGUGGGGAAUAUUGCACAAUGGAGGAAACUCUGAUGCAGCGACGCCGCGUGAGCGAAGAAGGCCUUCGGGUCGUAAAGCUCUGUCCUAAGAGAAGAAGAAGUGACGGUAACUUAGGAGGAAGCCCCGGCUAACUACGUGCCAGCAGCCGCGGUAC
rnacentral:rRNA from 1 species